rnacentral:tRNA from 1 species
GCGGGACUAGCUCAGUUGGUAGAGCACAACCUUGCCAAGGUUGGGGUCGCGAGUUCGAGUCUCGUGUCCCGCUCCA